UACGUAGGUGACAAGCGUUGUCCGGAUUUACUGGGCGUAAAGAGCGCGCAGGCGGUCGAUCAAGUCGAGUGUGAAAGCCCCCGGCUCAACUGGGGAGGGUCAUUCGAUACUGAUCGACUCGAAGGCAGGAGAGGGUAGUGGAAUUCCCGGUGUAGUGGUGAAAUGCGUAGAUAUCGGGAGGAACACCAGUGGCGAAGGCGACUACCUGGCCCACAACUGACGCUGAGGUGCGAAAGCGUGGGGAGCGAACGGG
rnacentral:rRNA from 1 species